CACAGUUACAACGUAACAAAGCUGCUAGUAAUGAAAGAAUUGUCAUACAGCUAUGGAGCAUUUUUGUUUUCAUUUUUUCUUGUGUAGUUUACAGACGUUUGUUGUAAUUUUAUGCUUUUUUUUCUUAACAGCAACUACAACAACACCUGAACCAACAACAGCAGCAGAAACUUCCACCAGAGUAGAAACCAGCACAACAGCCAUUGUAACAACAACUCCAUGGACAGCACCGGCGAUAUUUUAUCCAUUUGGCGCAGAGAAAGGAGACACUGAAAUUCUUGAAAGUGGUUAUGAUACCUACGAACAGUGUUGGGGAGUAACUAGUUACAUGUAACGGAAUUACGUAAUUUAAUUACAAAAUAAAUGUAAUUGUAAUUAGUUACAGUUACUGAGAAAAAAUAUGUAAUUAAAUUACAGUUACUUUUGAAAAAUGCCAGUGAUUACAAAGGGGAUUACAUCUGAAUUUUUUCACACACCCACCCCCACUUACAGAUUUAAUUGACUUCUUUUAAAUUGCAUUGACUGCUCUAAAAUGAGACAGCAGUGUUUCAGGAGUUUGGGACACAGAAUAGGACACAUGCUUAUUCGAUAACUGUUUUAUUUCCUAUUUGGGUUUAUGCAUAAACUUUAUUUUUUAAGAUUGUUUUUUUUCCAAGGCAUUGUUAGAUGCUAGUGUUUUCUGUCUUAACUAUGCAAACAUUUGAUUUCAAACCCAGUAUCAUAGCUAUUAAACUAUUUUUUGUUAUGAUGUUAUUUAUGUUAUGAUCUUAUGACAUAUAGCGCAACUGCGCUCACGGUGACCUGAGUUCGAUCCCCGUCUCAAGGUCCUUUGCCGAUCCCGCUCCCCUCUCUCCUCCCAGCUCUUUCCUGUCAUCUCUCUACUGUCCUAUCACAAUAAAAGGCAUAAAAAGCCCAAAAAUAUAAGUAAAAAAAAAAAAGUCUGAAUUUGUGGUGGCUGUGCUUUAAAUUAAAUUAUUACACAGCUCAGACUCUUUCUGGGGAACUUAAGUCAGUGCUAUAUGCUUGAUAAUAUUUCUUGGCGGAAGCUUUGUGUUUGCUUAGCUAAUAAAAUAUCAAAGCUUAAUUCAAUAUUAUGUGGACAAUUUCUUAAUUCUGUCAUUCUGGUAUCAUGCAGACUUGCUGUAUUUUUUUUUUUUUUUGUACACUGUAAUGGAUUAUAAGAUAACUAACAAACUAGUACUACUAUUUAAUUAUUUAUGUGGUGAAUUGUUGUGUAAGAAAACUGGUUUGACUGCACUGUGUCCCUAAAAUGUCUAGUUUGAACUUGCCAUUUGCUAGCAACUGAUUUCUUCAUGGAAGUGUUUAAAUAUUUCAACUCAGAUCAGUGCUACUGUAAAGUUAACUCUGCCUGGUUUAAAUGUUUCAAAAAGAUUAACAGUUGAAAAUAUUAGAAAUUUAGAAAAGUAAUCAAAAAGUAAUUAAAAGUAAUAAGUUACAUUACUUUAACAAAGUAAUUGAAAAGUUACACUACUUAUUACAUUUUAAAUCAAGUAACUUGUAACUUAAAUCUGUAAC